AGGUUAUGGGGCUAGGGUAAGGUUUAAGGUUUUUGGCGUUAGGGUUGAAAUCACUGUCCAAAACCUUUGUAGGAACUCUUUUUUCAACCUUUUGGAGUUAGUUAGACCAAAAAAAAAUGAAAAAUGAAAAAAAAAAAUUUGGGGGUUUUCGGGCUUCCUGAAUGUAAUACCCGGGUAUUAGAUUUUAAGGCCAGGGUAAGGUUUCAGUUUUUUGGCAUUAGGGUUAAAAUCACUGUCCAAAACCUUUGUAGGAACUCUUUUCCAACCUUUUGGAGUUGGUUAGACCAAAAAAAAAGAAAAAUGAAAAAAAAAAUAUUUGGGGUGUUCAGGCUUCCUAAAAGUAAUACCCGGGUAUUAGGUUAUGGGGCUAUGGUAAGGUUUAAGGUUUUUGGCGUUAGGGUUAAAAUCACUGUCCAAAACCUUUGUAGGAACUCUUUUCCAACC